AUAAAUUAAAAUAUGUUUAAAUAAAUCUAAUAUAAACUUACAUAUAAUAAAAUUUGAACUUAAAAUAAUAUUUUGAAAUUUUAAAAAUUUUUCUUAUCACUAAAUCUAAAUGGUACAAAUAGCCUUCUCGAUCAAUUGAAGGGAGAAUAACAAAAAAUAAUAAUAAUAAUAAUUAAAGGGUCCCUUUAAAACCGAUGCGAAAAAAUUUAUAAAUAAAAUUUAUAAGAAUAGAGAACAAAAUCUUAUGUUAAAAAUUAGACUUUCGAAAUUACGUAAUACAUCAAUUUGCUAGUUAUGAAGUUGAUUUGAAAAAUAUAAAGCAGGCAAUUAGGCAAAUAUCCAGGAUGGUUGACGUGAAAAGACUUGCUGCCUAGUUACGUGAAAAGAAAAUGAUCGAGGUAGUACCCCAUAUAUGGCUGGCGUCUUUCCACUGGCUAGGUCGCUGGCUACUCUCUAAUUCCCUAGCUAUCUAGCUGAAGUCUUGGCCUUGCACAUUUCUUCAAUCUUGAGUGGCUAAAUUUUCCGACGGACGAGACUUCGUUAAUUGGUGUCUAGAUUUGAAAUUUGCUUUGGGUGACGGCUUUCACCACUGACAAGUUAACAAAUGCAUUAAGACCAAACCCUUUCUCCCACCCCCCCCCCCCACCUGGCCUUUUGUCUGGAACCUGGAGUCCGCACCAAUUUCUUCGUCAAUUCAACUGUGUGUGUGUGGCUCGCAGCCACAAACCGCAUGCAAGUUUGGCAAUUCAUGGUAGUUACCAUUUUGAUUUGUAAUGGAGAAUUUGAAUGAAAACCCCAAAUUUUCAAAAUCAAAAUUUUCUUCUCCUGAUUUCCCCAAAGGAUUGUGGCGGAAAGAGGAAUCGGCAGGCGCGAAAGGUUUGAAAUGACAAAUCUAGAAGUUUUUUCAGCACACCCAAAAGAAAGUCUCCAAUUCUAAGCUACUUUCAUUAAUUCUAUUUGGAAGCUAUGAAUUCUAAUAAUCUCUAUCUCAUCAUUGGAUCAGGCGGCUGUAAGUAUCUCAUUAAUGCGACCAAAAUCAUUCAAGUCUAUACAUUAGCAUUUGGACUUUCCAGCAUUAAGUGGUGUGCAAAUGUAACUCCG
rnacentral:lncRNA from 1 species